AGACGCUGGCGGCGUGCUUAACACAUGCAAGUCGAACGGUAAGGCCCUUCGGGGUACACGAGUGGCGAACGGGUGAGUAACACGUGGGUGAUCUGCCCUGCACUUCGGGAUAAGCCUGGGAAACUGGGUCUAAUACCGGAUAGGACCAUGGACUUCACGGUUUGUGGUGGAAAGCUUUUGCGGUGUGGGAUGGGCCCGCGGCCUAUCAGCUUGUUGGUGGGGUAAUGGCCUACCAAGGCGACGACGGGUAGCCGGCCUGAGAGGGUGUCCGGCCACACUGGGACUGAGAUACGGCCCAGACUCCUACGGGAGGCAGCAGUGGGGAAUAUUGCACAAUGGGCGCAAGCCUGAUGCAGCGACGCCGCGUGAGGAAUGACGGCCUUCGGGUUGUAAACCUCUUUCAAUAGGGACGAAGCGCAAGUGACGGUACCUAUAGAAGAAGCACCGGCCAACUACGUG
rnacentral:rRNA from 1 species